CCCAAAGAUUUAAAUAAAUCAAAACUUUCAACAACGGAUCUCUUGGUUCUCGCAUCGAUGAAGAACGCAGGGAAAUGCGAUACGUAAUGUGAAUUGCAGAAUUUUUGAAUCAUCGAAUCUUUGAACGCACAUUGCGCCUUUUGGAAUUCCAGAAGGCAUGCCUGUUUCAGCGUCAUUUCUCUCUCACUCUUGUGGCUUUGUUGUUUAUCUCUUCUCUAAGAAGAGUACUACGAAAAGAAAUGGCAGUGCUUAGGAAGUCUUUGCUACCAGUGUUUUAGGGUCUACCAACUACACUUUCCAGCAGCUUCCAGUAAGUCGGCUUGAAAACCCUUUUCAACGUUGACCUGAAAUCAGGUAAGAUUACCCGCUGAACUUAAGCAUAUCAAUAAGCGGAGGAAGAUUCU
rnacentral:rRNA from 1 species